GAUGAACGCUGGCGGCGUGCUUAACACAUGCAAGUCGAACGAAGCACUUUAUUUGAUUUCCUUCGGGACUGAUUAUUUUGUGACUGAGUGGCGGACGGGUGAGUAACGCGUGGGUAACCUGCCUUGUACAGGGGGAUAACAGUUGGAAACGGCUGCUAAUACCGCAUAAGCGCACGGCAUCGCAUGAUGCAGUGUGAAAAACUCCGGUGGUAUAAGAUGGACCCGCGUUGGAUUAGCUAGUUGGUGAGGUAACGGCCCACCAAGGCGACGAUCCAUAGCCGAGCUGAGAGGGUGGCCGGCCACAUUGGGACUGAGACACGGCCCAAACUCCUACGGGAAGCAGCAGUGGGGAAUAUUGCACAAUGGGCGAAAGCCUGAUGCAGCGACGCCGCGUGAGCGAAGAAGUAUUUCGGUAUGUAAAGCUCUAUCAGCAGGGAAGAUAAUGACGGUACCUGACUAAGAAGCACCGGCUAAAUACGUG
rnacentral:rRNA from 1 species